rnacentral:lncRNA from 1 species
CACCUGAUUACCCUAUUAAAACAUACUGUCAUGAUCAUUUCUUAGUGCAAUUUAAAAAGUUGUGUAUGAGUAGACAAGUUUCACAUCUAUCUUAAUUGAACUUAAAACUAUGGAUGUCAUUCUAUUUGAAUGCCAAAUGUAGGUCCUAUGGUUGACAAAUGUAGUACCUAAGGUUGACAAAGAAACUACCUAAUGUUCACAAAGGAAGUACUUAAGGUUUACA